CCUACGGGAGGCAGCAGUGAGGAAUAUUGGUCAAUGGACGAGAGUCUGAACCAGCCAAGUAGCGUGAAGGAUGACUGCCCUAUGGGUUGUAAACUUCUUUUAUAUGGGAAUAAAAUGUUCCACGUGUGGGAUUUUGUAUGUACCAUAUGAAUAAGGAUCGGCUAACUCCGUGCCAGCAGCCGCGGUAAUACGGAGGAUCCGAGCGUUAUCCGGAUUUAUUGGGUUUAAAGGGAGCGUAGGUGGAUUGUUAAGUCAGUUGUGAAAGUUUGCGGCUCAACAGUAAAAUUGCAGUUGAAACUGGCAGGCUUGAGUACAGUAGAGGUGGGCGGAAUUCGUGGGGUAGCGGUGAAAUGCUUAGAUAUCACGAAGAACUCCGAUUGCGAAGGCAGCUCACUGGACUGCAACUGACACUGAGGCUCGAAAGUGUGGGUAUCAAACAGGAUUAGAUACCCCAGUAGUC
rnacentral:rRNA from 1 species